ACAGUUUACAGAGGGUGGUGUGGUCGACGAUUAGCUAAAUGGCCAAAGGUUGGAGACUCGUCAUUGACAUAGUCGGGACCCUCUCGGAUGGUGUAGGAGAGCUCAUUGAACUCCAGGUCCACAGCAGAGCGACGUGGGAGGUGGGAGAAGCGCUGGGCCUCGGUGAUGUGGUUCUCCACUUUCUUCAGGUGGACGAGCAGCGGCGCCUCCUGAGGUGCUCCGGUGAGAGCUUUGGUCUCCUCCAUGGGAAUGCUGACCGAGCCCGGCUCCUGCGUCUUCUCGGCCAUCGUGAAAGGCUGCAUGGGGAGAACACACGUGUCAGAUUUAAAACUUGUUUUUAAAGCUCACCUCCUCUCUCCUGCUUCACAAGAACAUGUAUCAUUGUUCUCCAUCAAUUCGGCCUCAUAAUGCUACAGUUUCCAACACUUUUUCAAAAGAAAAAUCAUUCAAACUUCCAUCUCUUUCGAUAUAAACAUACAGAAUGGUUAGAGUGUGGCUGUCACGUGUCAAGUGCUUUAGGAUUUCAUUAAAUAAGAAUUGAUGAAGAUA